GGGCGGUUAGCUCAGAUGGUUAGAGCGCUACGUUGACAUCGUAGAGGUCGUUAGUUCGAUUCUAAUACCGCCCA
rnacentral:tRNA from 1 species